UGAGUACGAGAUGCUACGGCAUCGAAGCAGUCUAUGUCAUACUUCCAAGAAAAGCUCGCACUGUCAUAAACAAAUAAUGCCUGUACCAUAACCGACACAGGUGGGUAGGUAGAGUAUACUAAGGGGCGCGAGAUAACUCUCUCUAAGGAACUCGGCAAAAUGACUCCGUAACUUCGGGAGAAGGAGUGCCUUAUUUAAAAGGUUGCAAUAACCAGAUCCAAGCAACUGUUUAUCAAAAACACAGGUCUCCGCAAAGUCGUAAGACGAUGUAUGGGGGCUGACGCCUGCCCAGUGCCAGAAGGUUAAAGAAGUUGGUUAGUUUCGGCGAAGCUGAUAACUGAAGCCCUGGUGAACGGCGGCCGUAACAAUAACGGUCCUAAGGUAGCGAAAUUCCUUGUCGGGUAAGUUCCGACCCGCACGAAAGGCGUAAUGAUUUGGAUACUGUCUCAGAGAGGGGCUCGGUGAAAUAGACUUGUCUGUGAAGAUGCGGACUACCUGCCCCUGGACAGAAAGACCCUAUGAAGCUUUACUGUAACUUGAAAUUGAAAUUGGACUUUAUUUGCGCAGUAUAGGUGGGAGGCAUUGAAGAUAUUCUUGCGGGAAAAUUGGAGCCAUCAGUGAGAUACCACUCUUGUAAUGUUAGAUUUCUAACUUUGUAUCAUUAUCUGGUCAAAGAACAGUUUCAGGCGAGCAGUUUGACUGGGGCGGUCGCCUCCCAAACGGUAACGGAGGCGCACAAAGGUUUCCUCUGAACGGGUAGAAAUCGUAUCUAGAGUGUAAAGGCAUAAGGAAGCUUGACUGUGAGACCUACAAGUCGAGCAGGGACGAAAGUCGGUCUUAGUGAUCUGACGGUGCUGAGUGGAAAGGCCGUCACUCAACGGAUAAAAGUUACUCUAAGGAUAACAGGCUGAUCUCCCCCAAGAGUUCACAUCGACGGGGAGGUUUGGCACCUCGAUGUCGGCUCAUCGCAUCCUGGGGCGGUAGUACGUCCCAAGGGUUGGGCUGUUCGCCCAUGAAAGCGGUACGCGAGCUGGGUUCAGAACGUCGUGAGACAGUUCGGUCCAUAUCCGGUGUAGGCGUUAGAAUAUUGAGAGGAGCCUUCUUUAGUACGAGAGGACCGAGAAGGACAUACCUCUGGUGUACCAGUUAUCGUGCCAACGGUAAACGCUGGGUAGCUAUGUAUGGAGUGGAUAACCGCUGAAAGCAUCUAAGUGGGAAGCCCACCUUAAGAUAAGUAUUC
rnacentral:rRNA from 1 species